rnacentral:tRNA from 1 species
AUCUUUAUAGUAUAUAAGUAUAUAUGACUUCCAAUCAUAAGGACUAUUAUAAAUAAUAGUAAAGAUA